AACGCACAUUGCGCUUUUGGGUCAUGCCCAAGAGCAUGCUUAUCUGAGUGUUCCUGAACCCCACUCAGCCGCUGGUGCUGCACGAGAGUGCACAUGAGCGGGCUGGACUGUGACAGUGCGGGCUGACGCCAGCUCUGUUGAAAUUCGUAGGUUUGUGGUUGUGCCUAGCACGGUCCCGAAGCAAACACAGCAAAAGACUUGGUGAAUGCACUGACGUGUGUUUCAUGUCUGGAGUUGUGGUGUGGAUGGCUGCUGCAGGGCUGGACUGUCGGACUGGGGCGUGUGUGGUAAGAAGCACACGCCCGCAAUGAAGUGAAUCUCAUCUAUGAAUCUCAGAUUAAGUAAGACUACCCGCUGAAUUUAA
rnacentral:misc_RNA from 1 species